CACUUCACCCAGGACCUUCAAACUUCACAUGCUCAUAAUACUUAUUGGGGUCACCAGGUCAAAGGUCAGGGUGCUGCGGGGGCAUUUGUCACCAUUAGUGACAGCUGUUGUUUCUUUCUGCCCUUAGGGCUAUACACUCGAGGUAACAAAAUGGGGCCAUGUAUUGUCUGCUUUUAAACUUUGUUAUGAAUGAUGAAAACUCCAGCUACAAUAGCUAAUUUUCAUAUGAAAUUAGUUAAAAUCAGCUGUGUUUACUUUGCCUUAACCAAUGGUUAGAUAUUUUACAUGAUUCUCACCAAGUGUUGUUCAGAAAAUGUAGGUUUGGCGACGGAGAAUGCGGUCAGCCAGUAGCAACACAAGAGGAUGUUCCAUACUGUAGUCUACACCCAAGACUUCCCAAGGACUUGGAUACAAGCAGUGCUAGUCUCUCUGAAAGUACAGCCAAGAUUGAAACUCCCACUGAGGAUAUCAUAGAUGUUACAACAGAUGUUCCCAUGGAAACAGGACAUGCUUUGUCCAAAAAUCACAUUGCUAUGGAGACAAAUGAGCAUAAACAAGGAACCAGUUCUCCAGGAGAACCAGUGUCAGAAGAGGCACUCAUGAAAAAGGGGAAAUACCUUUUCCAUCAUCUGAAGAACUUAGAUCCACAUACUGGCGAAUUUACCUCCCCUGAACCAAGUUCUGUAGAAAAAUGAAGUAUCCAGACAUACACAAAACACUUAAAAAAUAACUUGAAAAUAAUCCAUUUGCUACACAUUUAUGUGCUAAGAGUAAGAAUUGUCACUUACUUUAGAAGUUCUGUUGAGUUUUUCAGUUUUGGUUGAGUGUUGGAGACAAAAAAUACAAGUGAAGACUUGUCUUUUACUACACAGACCAAGUGCUUAAUAAAUGUUUAUAAUUGUUAUGAUGGAAAAUUAAUAAAAAUAGAUAUUAACAUGAAA
rnacentral:lncRNA from 1 species